rnacentral:rRNA from 1 species
AGAGUUUGAUCCUGGCUCAGGACUAACGCUGGCGGCGUGCCUAACACAUGCAAGUCGAACGAGUUGUUUAUAGUAGCAAUAUUGUGAACAGCAAGUGGCGAACGGGUGAGUAACACGUAGAUAAUCUGCCUUUCAGACGGGGAUAACUCAGGGAAACUUGUGCUAAUACCCGAUGAGACUACGAGGGGGGACCUUCGCAGCCAAAGGUGGGCGAAAGCUCACGCUGGAAGAUGAGUCUGCGUCCUAUCAGCUAGUUGGUGGGGUAAAAGCCUACCAAGGCGAAGACGGGUAGCCGGCCUGAGAGGGUGAACGGCCACACUGGGACUGAGACACGGCCCAGACUCCUACGGGAGGCAGCAGUGAGGAAUUUUCCGCAAUGGGCGCAAGCCUGACGGAGCGACGCCGCGUGAGGGAUGACGGCCUUCGGGUUGUAAACCUCUUUUAUUAAGGAAAAAGGCAAUCGUGCUAACACCACGGUUGUUUGAUGGUACUUAUUGAAUAAGCCCCGGCUAACUACGUGCCAGCAGCCGCGGUAAUACGUAGGGGGCGAGCGUUGUCCGGAGUUACUGGGCGUAAAGAGCGUGUAGGCGGUUGAAAAAGUCAGGUGUGAAAUUCUUCGGCUCAACCGAGGGACUGCGCCUGAAACUUUUCGACUGGAGUUCGGGAGGGGCAACUGGAAUUCCUGGUGUAACGGUGAAAUGUGUAGAUAUCAGGAGGAACACCCGUGGCGAAGGCGGGUUGCUGGACCGAAACUGACGCUGAGACGCGAAAGCGUGGGUAGCAAACAGGAUUAGAUACCCUGGUAGUCCACGCUGUAAACGAUGAGUGCUAGGUGUAGGGGGUAUCGACUCCUUCUGUGCCGCAGUUAACGCAUUAAGCACUCCGCCUGGGGAGUACGGCCGCAAGGUUAAAACUCAAAGGAAUUGAC